rnacentral:rRNA from 1 species
UACGUAGGGGGCAAGCGUUGUCCGGAAUCAUUGGGCGUAAAGCGCGUGUAGGCGGCUGAGUAAGUCUGCUCUGAAAGCCCGGGGCUCAACCCCGGGAGGCGGGUGGAUACUGCUCAGCUCGAGUCCGGAAGAGGCGAGUGGAAUUCCUGGUGUAGCGGUGAAAUGCGCAGAUAUCAGGAGGAACACCAAUGGCGAAGGCAGCUCGCUGGGACGGUACUGACGCUGAGACGCGAAAGCGUGGGGAGCAAACAGG